ACGAGUGGCGGACGGGUGAGUAAUGUCUGGGAAACUGCCUGAUGGAGGGGGAUAACUACUGGAAACGGUAGCUAAUACCGCACAACGUCGCAAGACCAAAGAGGGGGACCUUCGGGCCUCUUGCCAUCGGAUGUGCCCAGAUGGGAUUAGCUAGUAGGUGGGGUAACGGCUCACCUAGGCGACGAUCCCUAGCUGGUCUGAGAGGAUGACCAGCCACACUGGAACUGAGACACGGUCCAAACUCCUACGGGAGGCAGCAUG
rnacentral:rRNA from 1 species